rnacentral:lncRNA from 1 species
UUUUUAUGCUUUCUAGUUUUCUUCCCCCAUGAGUUUUGAAUCCCUUCAACCUUUCUUAAUGUUUCUUCACCACUUAACGGCUUAGAAGGAAAGUCUCUUUCUGGUUUACCAUCAAAAGCCUUUGUUAAAUCUCGAAACAAGUGAGAUUCUGGGAGAUAUCGCCUAUGGCGCAUGUACACAUUUUUCUUCCCAUUCUUAAGUCUACAGGACUGUGUAUCUUCCCCACAUAUAGGACAUGCAAAAUAUCCUUUAACUGAGCAUCCAAACAAGUUCCCAUAAGCAGGAAAAUCACUAAUUGUCCACAACAAGACAGCUCGUAGAGUAAAUAAUUCUUGUCUAUAUGCAUCAUAAAUUUGGACACCAACUUCCCACAAAGUUUUCAAGUCAUCAAUCAGUGGUGACAAAUAGACAUCAAUAUCGUUACCGGGCUGUCGUGGACCAAAUAUUAACAUAGUCAACAUCAUGAAUUUUCUUUUCAUGCAUAACCAAGGAGGAAGAUUAUAAGUAAUCAUAACAAUUGGCCAACAACUAUACGAACUGCGAAAGUUUUUAUGGGGAUUUAUCCCAUCUGCAUAAAUAGCCAGCCGAAGAUUUCUUUCUUCUGCAGCGAAAUCUGACCAUUUUUGGUCCACUAGCCUCCAUGACGGUGAGUCAGCUGGGUGACAUAGUUUGCCAUCAAUCACCCUUUCAUUGACAUGCCAAAUUAAGUCUUUUGCAGUUCGAGGAGAUUGAAACAUCCUUUUAAACCUUGGUAUAGGAGGAAAAUACCAUAAGAUUUUAGCAGGAAUUCCCUUACUUUUCUUGGGACUCUUCCAUCUUGACAUUCCACAAGUGGGACAUGCAGAUAAAUCCUUAUAUUCUUUUCUAUAUAGGAUGCAAUCGUUGGGACAUGCAUGUAUUUUUUCAUAUUCUAAGCCUAAUGCAACCAUAAUCUUCUUUGCUUCAUAUACGGAUAAAGGUAUUUCAUUUUUAUUAGGAAGCAUAUCUGAUAAACAACUUAGUAAAUCUGAAAAACUUUUGUCUGACCAUCCAUUUCUUCCUUUAAUGUUGUAAAGCCUUAUUAAGGCAGAUAACUUAGUGAAUUUCACACAGCCAGGAAACAAAUGUUUUUCAUCAUCUUUAAGUAGAGUUUCGAAAGACUUGGGGUUACUAUUACAAGUGUCAAAUGCAUCAUUAACUAUUUCUACUGUAUCAGCAGCUUCAUCAUCUUGUUGACUGCCAUCAAAUGAAGCUUUUACAUUUGAUGGUCGUCUACUAGAAGCUCCUUCUCCAUGCCAAGUCCAUGUCUGAUAGCUUUGGUCAAUACCUUUCCAAUAAAGAUGAUUUCUUAUCUCAGCAGGUACAUGAAAGACCAAAUUACCACAUGCUUGGCAUGGACAUCUUAAAAGUUCAGGAUUACUAGCAUGAAGUAUUGCAAACUUGAGAAACUCAUUUACCCCACUUUCAUAUUCUAUAGACGUUCUAUCCAUCAACAUCCAAGAUUUAUCCAUAUUUAAACUACUAACUUUCCUGCAAAUGCAUCACAUAAUAUUCAUUUAGUUUUAUUAAUAUUAAAAAAUGAUAUUGUUUGCAACCACAAGAACAACUGAUAAAAUUAUAUAAUUAACCCCAAAAAAUAAGGCAAUGAGAUCACAAUUUUACUAAUUAAGAAUGAAAGUGAAAAUUAUUUGUGCGUUCUUUGUUUGUUGAACGAGAAUAGAUAUAAGACGUAGUAUCAAUAA